rnacentral:rRNA from 1 species
UUGGAGGGCAAGUCUGGUGCCAGCAGCCGCGGUAAUUCCAGCUCCAAUAGCGUAUAUUAAAGUUGUUGCAGUUAAAAAGCUCGUAGUUGAAUUUCGGGGUCUAUCCAUUGGUCGGGCUUUAUUGUCCGUACUGGUGCGAUGGGUUCCUACCUUCUGAAUAACCGGCAUGCCAUUCAUUUGGUGCGCCGGGGAAGCAGAGCUAUUACCUUGAAAAAAUUAGAGUGUUUAAAGCAAGCAUUAGCUUGAAUACAUUAGCAUGGAAUAAUGAAAUAGGACGUUUGAUCCUAUUUCGUUGGUUUCUAGGAUCGACGUAAUGAUUAAUAGGGAUAGUUGGGGGCAUUAGUAUUCAAUUGUCAGAGGUGAAAUUCUUGGAUUUAUUGAAGACUAACUACUGCGAAAGCAUUUGCCAAGGAUGUUUUCAUUAAUCAAGAACGAAAGUUAGGGGAUCGAAGACGAUCAGAUACCGUCGUAGUCUUAACCAUAAACUAUGCCGACUAGGGAUCGGAUGAUGUUAAUUUUUUAAUGACUCAUUCGGCGCCUUACGGGAAAC